CUUGGUGUGGUUGUUGCUGGCCCUCUCGGGGGCAUGUGCACACCCACCAUCCUCAUCUCUCCACCUGUGCACCUCUUGUAGACCUGGAUUGACUUUCCGAGGCAACUCGGUCGGGAAGAUUGCUGCGCUCUGUGAGCCAGCUUUCUUUGCAUGUCCAGGCCUAUGUUUUUCAUAUACCCCUAUAGAAUGUAACAGAAUGUAUCAUUGGGCCUUGUGCCUAUAAACCUUAUACAACUUUCAGCAACGGAUCUCUUGGCUCUCGCAUCGAUGAAGAACGCAGCGAAAUGCGAUAAGUAAUGUGAAUUGCAGAAUUCAGUGAAUCAUCGAAUCUUUGAACGCACCUUGCGCUCCUUGGUAUUCCGAGGAGCAUGCCUGUUUGAGUGUCAUUAAAUUCUCAACCUUAUUAACUUUUGUUGAUAAUGGAUUGGAUUGUGGGGGUUUCUUUUGCUGGCUUCUUCACAGAGAUCAGCUCCCCUUAAAUGCAUUAGCUGGUGCCCCGCGUGGACCAUCUAUUGGUGUGAUAAUUAUCUACGCCGUGGAUGUCUGCAAUCAUAUGGGUUUCGCACUGCUUCUAACCGUCUGUUCAUUCGGACAAUACAUGACAAUUUGACCUCAAAUCAGGUAGGACUACCCGCUGAACUUAAGCAUAUCAAUAAGCGGAGGAAAAGAAACUAACAAGGAUUCCCCUAGUAACUGCGAGUGAAGCGGGAAAAGCUCAAAUUUAAAAUCUGGCGGUCUCCGGCCGUCCGAGUUGUAUCUAGAGAAGUGUAUCCGCGCUGA
rnacentral:rRNA from 1 species